AUUUUCACCAAACUUUUUUCCCGCCAAAAAAAAAAGGUCGAAUUAUUUUUUUCGCAACAAAUUUUUUCUCAGCCAAAAAAGUGCUUUUAAAAAUCCUUGUAAAUUUUUUUUGGCUGGAAAUAGAUUUACAAGAGAUUUUAAAAGGGUUUUAAAAGAUUUACAAUGGAUUUUAAAAGGGUUUUAAAAGAUUUACAAGAGAUUUUUAAGGGCUUUAAAAGAUUUACAAAGUUUUUUUUAAAGUUUUUUAAAGGGUUUAAAAGUGUUUUAAAGGAUUUACAAGGGAUUUUAAAAGAGUUUUAAAAUAUUUACAAAGGUUUAAAAAACUCUUUAAAGAUCUUUAAAAAUCUUUUAAAAACUUUUUAAAUCUUUUAAAACCCUUUAAAAAUCUCUUAUAAAUCUUUUAAAACCCUUUUAAGAUGCAUUGUAAAUCUUUUAAAACACAUUUAGACCCUUUAAAAAUCUUUAAAAAACAUUUGUAAAUCUUUAAAACCUCUUUAAAAUUCCUUGUAAAUAUUUUUUAAACCCUUUUAAAAUCCCUUGUAAAUCUUUGAAAACCCUUUUUAAAUCACUUGUAAAUAUUUUAAAACCCUUUUAAAACAAUUUUAAACCCUUUAAAAAUCUUUUAAAAACCUUUGUAAAUCUUUUAAAGCUAUUUAAAAUAUCUUGUAAAUCUUUUAAAACCCUUUUAAAAUUCCCUAUAAAUCUUUUAAAACCCUUUUAAAAUCCCUUGUAAAUCUAUUUCCCGCCAAAAAAAAUUCUUUUGCGGAAAAAAUAUUUUUGAAAAAACAAUUUUUGCGAGAAUUUUUUUUGACGGGAAAUUUAUUUUGGAAUAUUUUAGGCGAAAAUAUUUCAUUUUGUUAACCUAAAACAAUUUUCAAAUAGGGGUAAAAUAGUCAUUAAAAAUUUAAAGAGGGUAGAAAUGAAAAUGGCUAAUAAAAAAGGGUAGAGUUGAAAAAGGGCAUUAUGAAAAGGGCAUUUGAAAGAAUUUUUCUUAAUUUAAUAGUAUUCUUAUUCUUGUAGUACGUUUAUUAGAGAAUUAUUGUUUUUCUUUGGCAUGAUAGUUUGGGUGAACUAGCACAAAAUAUUAAUUUUAAGUACUAAAUUCUCAUUUUUAGGAUGAAUAUCUCAAAAAUAACACAAAUAUUCUAUGUUAUUCGUUAGUUGCAACUUAUAUGAGCAGCAAACAAUUUCAUGAAAAGUAUGAUAAUGACGAAGUUAUGUUUAUGGGUUGUAUUAUUAUCUUAAGAAUUGAUAUUUUUCCUCUCUUUCUAUCAUUUACUUGUCAAUUAUAUUGCUUAUAUUUUGCUUAUGAUUUACUUAUGUUUUGAUUAUCUUUUGCUUUUUAAUUUUGUAAAUUUGUUUUUUAUACUCCAAUUUUUCAAUUUUUCAAAAUCUUAUUAACAAUAUAGUCAAUGGAGAGGUAAAGUUUAUCUCUCUAUUGAGUUUCCAAUGGACUGAUGCAGGAGAGCCAUUCAACAAAUCAUAUGCGAUGCAAAGGUGAGUUACUUUGGAAUCUCUACAUUUUGGGUGGUAUCCAAUCUUUGCUAAAAACCUUUUCCUAGGAAAAUUAUACGUUUUAAGCUUAUGUUUUUCAUUUCUUUCUUAAAACCAUUUUCAGGAAAUUUUUCUCAUUUUUCUUUCUUCUACUAACCAUUCGUUCAUCUUCCAACUAACUAUCACAUUCUUCUCCUAAACCCAAUCAUUUCUUCUCAGUUUUUUUUGCUCCGUGUUCUUUUGCAUCUCGCAACCUCUCUUUUUUUGUUUCUCGCAUCAUAGUUUCUAUUUUCUUUUUUCCUCCGAUUUUUUUCUUUUCUAAUCAUGUCCCGGUUGCUGUGGUUACUGCUUCAGAACCCAGUUCUUUGACUCUUUGCCAUACUUUUUACCGUAACUAUUUUAGUUUUAGUUUUCAUGUGUCUUACGAUCAUAUUUCCGUCACUUGAUGAUGUUCUUCGAGUUGAUGACAACGAAUAUGUAAAAGUUGUUGUUGACUGAACAUCAUCAAGAAGGGCUCAUACCCGUUCCUAGUAAAACAUUUCGUAUCUAGGUAUCCCGAAUGGCAUUGCAGUAUUUGUCUAGACAUUUUUGAAAGUAAUGUUCUAUUGGCUAUUACAGUGGGUGGACACACGUUCCACUUUCACUGUUUAAGUCAAUAGAACAACACUUGUCCUGUAGGACAAAUCAAUUCUAGUAGUAUUAGUAUUUAGGAAAUGUUUAACUAGGUGGGUAGUUUUUUAGUUUGUAUUUAGCAUAAUAGAUAGUUUUUUUAUGAAAAAUAAACCUGAUAGUUUUAGCAAAAUUAUUUAGCAAAAAUGGGUAGUUUUUCUUAUACAAGAAAA
rnacentral:sRNA from 1 species